GGAGUUAUAGCUCAGCGGUAGAGCGGCCGACUGCAGAUCGGCAGGUCCCGAGUUCAAAUCUCGGUGGCUCCU